CGGUAAAAGUUAGAUUGAAUAUAGUUUAAAAUAAAAAUAAAUUUAUUAGGUGAAAUUUUAAAUUUAUAAAAUUUUUAAGAGUAGGAUAAUUGAGGCUUGUAAAUUUUAAUAAUAAACUAGGAUUAGAUACCCUAUUAUUUAAAAUGUAAAUUAUUAACUUGAGUAGUAGUAGUUAUGUUCUUGAAACUUAAAAAAUUUGGCGGUAUUUUAGUCUAUUCAGAGGAACCUGUUCUAUAAUCGAUAAUCCACGAUGGACCUUACUUAAGUUUGUUUUUCAGUUUAUAUACCGUCGUUAUCAGAAUAUUUUAUAAGAAAAAUAAUUUUCUAGAUUUUUUAUAAGAAUUAAUAUCAGAUCAAGGUGUAGCUUAUACUUAAGAAGAAAUGGGUUACAAUAAAUUUAUUUAAAUGGAUUCAAAUAUGAAAAAUUUGUUGAAAGUGGAUUUGAUAGUAAAGUUAUAGAGAAAAAUAACUUGAGUUUAGCUCUAAAAUAUGCACACAUCGCCCGUCGCUC
rnacentral:rRNA from 1 species